rnacentral:rRNA from 1 species
UACGGAGGAUGCGAGCGUUAUCCGGAUUUAUUGGGUUUAAAGGGUGCGUAGGCGGGAUGCCAAGUCAGCGGUAAAAAUGCGGUGCUCAACGCCGUCGAGCCGUUGAAACUGGCGUUCUUGAGUGGGCGAGAAGUAUGCGGAAUGCGUGGUGUAGCGGUGAAAUGCAUAGAUAUCACGCAGAACUCCGAUUGCGAAGGCAGCAUACCGGCGCCCUACUGACGUUGAGGCUCGAAAGCGUGGGGAGCAAACAGG